GGCCUGGUUGCGGAUGGUCCGCGCUUGCAUGCAAUCGAUGGUUCUGAACUUGAUGCAUUUCGCAAGAUACGCUCGUUCGAUUCGAGCCCGGGCUA